rnacentral:rRNA from 1 species
CCUACGGGUGGCAGCAGUGAGGAAUAUUGGUCAAUGGUCGGGAGACUGAACCAGCCAAGCCGCGUGAGGGAGGAAGGUACAGAGUAUCGUAAACCUCUUUUGUCAGGGAACAAAGGCGGGGACGUGUCCCCGGAUGAGUGUACCUGAAGAAAAAGCAUCGGCUAACUCCGUGCCAGCAGCCGCGGUAAUACGGAGGAUGCGAGCGUUAUCCGGAUUUAUUGGGUUUAAAGGGUGCGCAGGCGGUCUGUUAAGUCAGCGGUAAAAGCCCGGGGCUCAACCCCGGCCGGCCGUUGAAACUGGCAGUCUCGAGUUGGAGAGAAGUAUGCGGAAUGCGCGGUGGAGCGGUGAAAUGCAUAGAUAACGCGCAGAACUCCGAUUGCGAAGGCAGCAUGCCGGCUCCACACUGACGCUGAGGCACGAAAGCGUGGGUAUCGAACAGGAUUAGAGACCCGAGUAGUC